CACGCCCUAAACGUUGUACACUAGAUGUCGGGGGUAUCGAUUCCCCCGGUGCCGACGCUAACGCAUUAAGUGUACCGCCUGGGGAGUAUGCUCGCAAGGGUGAAACUCAAAGGAAUUGACGGGGGCCCGCACAAGCGGUGGAGCAUGUGGUUUAAUUCGAUGGUACGCGAGGAACCUUACCUGGGCUUGACAUGGACGUGACAGCCGGUGAAAGCCGGACUUCCGCAAGGACACGUUCACAGGUGC
rnacentral:rRNA from 1 species